UGGCAACAUAGACCUUGUCUCAAUUAAAAAAAGGUUUCUUAAUUAAGAAAAACCUUAAGUGCUUGCUAGAACAGUUUUGAAACGGUUUGAGGCCUUGCCCUGCUCCAUCCAGAGCAAGGUUAUAGAAAUUUCAGACAAUG
ensembl:snoRNA